rnacentral:pre_miRNA from 1 species
CUAGUUAAGCAGGUUUUCGUUCUAGAUUUACACCGGUUAUCGUGAGCAUUUUUGCAUCAUGAUCCUGGUGUAAUUUGAGAAUGAAACCAGAAUUAUUUCUGUCA